GACAGAGGGUGCAAACGUUGUUCGGAAUUACUGGGCGUAAAGCGCGUGUAGGCGGCCCGGAAAGUCGGAUGUGAAAGCCCCGGGCUCAACCCGGGAAGUGCACUCGAUACUGCGUAGCUUGAGUCUCGGAGAGGUUGGUGGAAUUCUCGGUGUAGAGGUGAAAUUCGUAGAUAUCGAGAGGAACACCGGUGGCGAAGGCGGCCAACUGGACGAAGACUGACGCUGAGACACGAAAGCGUGGGGAGCAAACAGG
rnacentral:rRNA from 1 species